rnacentral:rRNA from 1 species
UACGUAGGGCGCAAGCGUUGUCCGGAAUUAUUGGGCGUAAAGAGCUCGUAGGCGGCUUGUCACGUCGAUUGUGAAAGCCCGAGGCUUAACCUCGGUCUGCAGUCGAUACGGGCUAGGCUAGAGUGUGAGGGAGAUGGAAUUCCGUGUGAGCGGUGAAAUGCGCAGAUAUCAGGAGGAACACCGGUGGCGAAGGCGGUCUCUGGGCCGAUGAUCGAGCGCUGAGGAGCGAAAGCGUGGGAGCGAACAGG